UUCAGAUGGAGCACCCACCUACAAUAAUGUACAACACUCAGGAGGAGCUUGGAGAAAGCAGUGAAGCGCUUAAUCCAACAAUGCCGUCCACUUCCCUCUGACCUGCCAAGACCGGCUUAACCCUUGUGUGGAGUUCAGGUCUGUGGGACCCAUUUUCAAUGUUUACUAAAAUAAAAAUGAUACAAUGAAUAAUUUUUUCAACCUGAGACUCAUUGGCCUUGGCUCAUAAAAUAACACAUUUUCAUUGAGUGCACACUGUGCAGCCCCCUACACAUUUAUUUUUCAUACGUGGUGUUCGGGUCCACUGUGUGCCUUCACAGUGUGCCUUGCAUACUUUGAGGUUAUUAUCCUUGCUGGGGUUUUCAGAUCCAAUGGGGAAUCCACAGAAUCCGUGUGGGAUGCAGAAACUGGCAGAGAACAUUUCUGUGCAACAAUGUCUCUGGAAAACUUCCACAUUAUUUCCAGGAUUAUCCGCUUCGAUAACUGAGACACCAGACUAGCUCGGCGGCACAGACACAAGCCAGCUGCAAUCAGGUCAGUGUGGGACAAGUGGGUGGACCACCUCCCCCUGUUUUCCAACCCUGGGCCCAACUUUACUGUUGAUGAGCAGUUUUUCAAGUCAUUGCCUAUCGAAUAUAGUGUCUAUGGGGUCAUUUUGCACUUCCUUUCACUAGAUGUCAACAGUCUUUAGAACCUUGGUUGAAGAUUCUACUGUGAAGGAGGGGGGAAUGGGAGCUGAAUGAGUCAGAGGUCUGCCAGAGUGGCAUGAGCUGAUCACGCGUGCUCACGUGAGGGCUAGCUGCGUUCCAUCGCAUUUCUACAGACAUAGGAAUUCUCCGGUUGGAACAUUAUUGAAGAUUUAUGUUAAAAACACCCUAAAGAUUGAUUCUAUACUUUGUUUGACAUGUUUCUACGAACUGUAAUAUGACCCUUCAUCUGAACUUUCGCCUGGACUUGCCCGCACGUCGUGAGUUUGGAUUGUGUACUAACGCGCAAACAAAAAGGAGAUAAAUUAUGGACUUUAUCAAACUAAUCAAACAUUUAUUGUGGAACUGGGAUUCCUAGGAGUGCAUUCUGAUGAAGAUCAUCAAAGGUAAGUGAAUAUUUAUAAUGCUAUUUCUGACUUUGUUGACUCCACAACAUGGCGGAUAUCUAUAUGGCUUGUUUUGUUGUCUGAGUGCUGUACUCAGAUUAUUACAUGGUGUGCUUUUCCGGUAAAGCUUUUUUGAAAUCUGACACAGUGGUUGCAUUAAGGAGAAGUGGAUCUAAAAUUCCAUGCAUAACACUUGUAUCUUUUAGCAAUGUUUAUUAUGAGUAUUUCUGUAAAUUGAUGUGGCUCUCUGCAAAAUCACCGGAUGUUUUGGAACUACUGAACGUAAUGCGCCAAUGUAAACUGAGAUUUUGGGAUAUAAAUAUGAACUUUAUCGAACAAAACAUACAUGUAUUGUGUAACAUGAAGUCCUAUGAGUGUCAUCUGAUGAAGAUCAUCAAAGGUUAGUGACUAAUGUUAUCUCUAUUUCUGCUUUUUGUGACUCCUCUCUUUGGCUGGAAAAAUGGCUGUGUAUUUCUGUGACUAGGUACUGACCUAACAUAAUCGUUUGGUGUGCUUUCGUCGUAAAGCCUUUUUGAAAUCGGACACUGUGGCUGGAUUUACAACAAGUUCAUCUUUAAAAUGGUGUGAAAUACGAGGGGUGGACAAUUUAGACAAGCUUGUGACUGGCUACAGCUGCAAAAGAAGAACCCUACUCUAGCCACUUGAUAUUCUUCAACAUCUUGGACAUCUCGGCGUACAACACAUUUGUCCUCUGGAUGGCGUUGAACCCAGAUUGGAACAGAGGAAAGCUCCAGAGGAGACAGUUCUUUCUCGAGGAGCUGGGCAAGGCAUUGGUAAGACCUCAAAUCCAGAGGAGGCAACAUAUAACUAGGACCCCAGCAUCUGCAGCCAUCGUGAAGAGGAUUCAGGAGGAAAAUGCUGGUGCCCCAUCUGCCCGACCCACAGAAGCAACAACUCCAAUACCAGAAAUUGCAGCCGGUAGCAACAAGCGCUGCGAUGUGUGUGGACCCAAGAAGUACAGGAAGAGACAGUACACAUGCGUCAAGUGCAAGAAAUACAUUUGCAACACACACACACAGUAAAACUCUGUCCCUCAUGUGGUGUGUAGACCGGCCUUAAUGUGGCUCAUUUAACAUUUCCAUAAAAUACUGUAUUUGUUCAGUUCAAAGCAAUACACGUCAAUGGUGAUGAAAACCUUGUUUAAUUUAUAUUUGUUCAAGAUAAACAUGAUUUAUUCCACCCAUGUCUUGAUUAUAAUAGCGCCUUUAUUGAUAAAUGUGAUCUUGCAGAAGUAAAUGGCAAAUAUUAACCAUGUAUGCUAUCUAUAUUGCUUGCAAUUGAUAUGUCAACAUCUAAGUAUUAAGGAUUUUUCCUAAAUUGUUAUGGCUGUAUUGUUAAAAAAAACAAAAAACAAUGUUGUGGGUCCAUCAAACCUGCAAACAUUGGGUGAAUAACAAAAACAUGAACACCACACUCGGGUUAACCAAUCCUUAAUAAGACAGGAAGCACACAGGAAGCACCAAUCAAAUGACAAUGGAUGAGAUAAGUCAUAGACUCAUUGUUAGUGUCACGACUUCCGCCGAAGUUGGCUCUCCUGCCUGUUCGGGCGGUGCUCGGCGGUCGUCGUCACCGUCCUACUAGCCACCACCGAUCCCUUUUUCGUUUGUCUGUUGGUUUUGUCUUAUUAGUUUCACCUGUGUGUAUUUUAGUUUAAUUAACGUCCUUAUAUGUAUUAGGUUGUCCCGCCCUUGUUUUGUGCGGGAUUGUUUGUAUUUCAUGUAUUUUGGUGGAGUACGUGUGUGUUAUUUCUCCGGUCUAUUUUUGAUCCUGUGUUGGAUUAUACACCCUGUAUGUUGGGUUGACCGUGUUGUUUUGAUUGCCGGAGAAUUAAACUGUCGAAUCACUUAA
ensembl:lncRNA